GUCUUACUUAAUCUGCAUAAUUACACCAGGUGUCAUCCAUGUGACUUUCAAACUUGGUGAGAGAGGAGGGUGUUCCUCUGGGACCGCGAGGUGGCCCCACAGUGGCUCUCCUGUCUAAAGGUCUCUGCAGAC